UUUAAUGGCAAAACUGAUACCACUCUGAGGUUUCUGUGUUAAUUAUGGAGUGACAGAGAGGCACUGUUCAACUUUACUUAAUAUGAGGAGACAAAGAAGGGGAAACAAUGCUUUGGCGACAACAGUUUAACUUGUCAUAUGUUUUGAGUGGAAUAAACUAAGCUUUGGGGGACAAUAUGUGGAUUUAUGUAACUUUGGAAUGAGCCUGACUAACUGUGUCCCCAUUUCAAGACUUGAUUCCAUGUAUUUACCCCAAAGUCGUACUGUUACUUCAAUUUGAAAAGGAGGGCAAAUAACAAUGAGGCAUUAGUUUCUUUUGACUGAGGUAACAGAUCAUGAUUAAAUGUUAAACUCUUAACAGUAUACAUUUAUGUGGGCAACUAUUUAACUCCUCACAUUUUUGUAUAAAGAUUUGUCACCCAGUGAUGCUGUACUGACUCAGUAAUUCACUGAUGUAACUGUUAUCCUACAGAUACUGAAGAGGCUGUUUUCAAACACACUUAAUAAUCCGUCUGUGCUAUUUCUGGCCCUCUCACAUUUAGAGCGGGAGGCUUUAAAACGCAGUUAGGUGUCGGUUGAGGUGUGUGUGUACUAACGUGCAAUCACACAGUUAUGCAGGCUGUUCCGAGUGCCAGCUUAUGCACAUUUACCAAAGACUCUUCGGCAGAACAAGAGACGAGCACGAGAAGAGGAGCAGCACUAUAUUGCAAUAAGAAAGAGAAGGAACUGGAAAAUGUUUACCACUUUAUCACCACUUUAUCACCAGUGCAGUGACGGCCUUGUGGCCUCUGUCCAAACUAAUUUAAUCAAUUACAGUGAUUUAGGGGGAGGCAGGUUAGCCAGUUAGAAAUUAAAAUGUCAGUGCCUGGAUUGCUGCUUGGCCAAAUUCUGAGUAAGGAUUCUAAAAUGGGGAUGUGAAUGUGUCAACUGAAUGGUUAUUAGGCACCUGCAUUGUCAGCCUGUGUGAGCCACUGAUUACAGUCAGCACCAUCUUUCACCCCUGAAAUCAGAGCAAACCCGCCCGAAGCUUUUCCCUCCAGUGCUCUGCCUUGUUGCAUUAACUUCCUGAUAAUAUAGAUUUUUGGCUUUAUUGGACUCGUCACAUGUGGAAUGCCCCUGAGGUCAGAUCAUAACAAAACCCCAGUGCAGUCAGGGAAAUCAUGCAGGCCAUCAGCAGAUUCACAUUCAAUCGCUUCCCACUUUUCUUAAAUAUAAACGCUGCCUGCAAAAUAAACAGUAGUACCAUUAAACAAAAGCCAAACACAAGAAUGAAAAUAAAUUUUCAAAAAAGGCAAAAUCCCUCCUUUUUGAUUCUUCUCACACUCUCCCUCCAUGCGGUGGAGGUUAUCAAUACGCCUACAAUGCAUCGCCGGUGUGGAUGUGCACAAGCCCACGCCACUCUCCUACUAGAUUAAAUCACACUUAACCCCUUGAGGCUGUUUGAUUUCUCACUUUGCCUUUAAACCGAUUGUGCUUUUCCAUCUCCGCAGUCACAGGAGCAUUUUUUUAAACUCUUGUUUUGUUUUGUUUUCCUUUCCGUGCAAUGUUGCGCCUCUGAUGUUUCCUCUGGGGGAUAAAGUCUAGAAGGAGAAGGAGAGAUGAAACGCUGCAAAGACAGCGAAGGCUGUUCUCCCCACCAGAUCGGCUGAGGUCUGGCCUCUUUCUGUGCCAGCGUUAUCACAGCUAAGCCACAGGGCAUGUUCUCCAGAUUGCCUGCUCACUGUUCUCUAAUGGACUAUAAGAGGAUGGUGUUUCCAGAAAUGGACCGCAAGAGCUGCCAAGACCCAACUGUCUCUCUCUCUCUCUCUCUGAAAUCUGGUUAAACACUGAAACAGUCAGGCAUGCCAGAAGCAAUCCUACCCCGAAGACCUUUCCUUACAGUAAUUCAAGCAGGAAUAGUUGUAAACAAAAGUGUUUCUUUUUUGUUGGAUGUGGGUGGUAUUAAUGCAUGCCAAGAACCCUGGAAGAAGCUACAGUAUAGCUCCAGGGCAAUAAAUGUCUCCCCAACUCUGUCUGUGGUCCACCACAGUGCGCUGCUCUCUACUUCUGAGGUACAGAAGUAUUCUGUGCAGAUAAUAUGUUUCAGUAAUGAGCUAUCUCAGCACUAAUGGCUACUCUUUUUCAUCCUGUUCACUGUUCAAUUCAACUGGAGUGAAAAGCAGCAACAGAAUGAAAUGUAUCUGUAAAAUAAACCACCUUUCAUUUUAUAAAAAUGUCGUUUUAAAAGCUUAAAAGUCAAUUAUUGAAAUGCAAUUCAAGUACUUCUUCAUGUCUCGCUUGGAAUAAAAUGUCGUGUAACAAAGA